UACGUAGGCAGCGAGCGUUGUUCGGAGUUACUGGGCGUAAAGAGUGCGUAGGCGGUUUUCUAAGUUUGGUGUGAAAUCUCCCGGCUUAACUGGGAGGGUGCGCCGAAGACUGGAAGGCUUGAGUAUGGGAGAGGUAAGCGGAAUUCCUGGUGUAGCGGUGAAAUGCGUAGAUAUCAGGAGGAACACCAGAGGCGAAGGCGGGUUACUGGGCUGAUACUGACGCUGAUGCGCGAAAGCCAGGGGAGCAAACGGG
rnacentral:rRNA from 1 species